rnacentral:rRNA from 1 species
UGGGGAAUUUUGGACAAUGGGGGCAACCCUGAUCCAGCAAUGCCGCGUGUGUGAAGAAGGCCUUCGGGUUGUAAAGCACUUUUGUCCGGGAAGAAAUCGCACCUGAUAAUACCGGGUGUGGAUGACGGUACCGGAAGAAUAAGGACCGGCGAACUACGUGCCAGCAGCCGCGGUAAUACGUAGGGUCCAAGCGUUAAACGGAAUUACUGGGCGUAAAGCGUGCGCAGGCGGUUGUGCAAGACCGAUGUGAAAUCCCCGGGCUUAACCUGGGAAUUGCAUUGGUGACUGCACGGCUAGAGUGUGUGGGAGGGGGGUAGAAUUCCACGUGUAGCAGUGAAAUGCGUAGAGAUGUGGAGGAAUACCGAUGGCGAAGGCAGCCCCCUGGGAUAACACUGACGCGCAUGCACGAAAGCGUGGGGAGCAAACAGG